rnacentral:rRNA from 1 species
GGACUACUGGGGUAUCUAAUCCCGUUUGCUCCCCUAGCUUUCGCGCCUCAGCGUCAGAAGAGGUCCAGCACGUCGCUUUCGCCACCGGCGUUCCUUCCGAUAUCUACGCAUUUCACCGCUCCACCGGAAGUUCCACAUGCCCCUACCUCCCUCGAGACAGCACGUAUCAGAGGCACUUUUCCGGUUGAGCCGAAAGAUUUCACCCCUGACUGUACCGCCCGCCUACGCGCCCUUUAAGCCCAGUGAAUCCGAACAACGUUCGCACGGUUCGUCUUACCGCGGCUGCUGGCAC